rnacentral:piRNA from 1 species
UUCAAUUCCUAGCAAACACAUGAUGGUUCA